AUGGAGGAGGCAGCAGAGACUCUGCUCUCCUUGUUUGGAUUAAUUCUGAUAUAAUAACUGUUGGUUUAUUUAUCGGUGGAGCAGCAGAACAUUUUCCACAGACAGUUUUCCUGCCCGUUGGCUUGUUUUAACCAGUUUUCUACCGUCGGCUGAUUCUACCAGCAGACACUGAAAGGACUCUGAUAGUUCGAGUGAAAGUAGCAGUUCCUCCUGAAGGUCAGAGAUUGCAGCAUCUGAGGGCCUCUUCAAAAGAAGACGUAGUUGAUGAAGGCGUUCUGGAGCAGGACCAGAAAGACCACGACCAAGCAGCCUUGAGAUCUUAGGCAGCGUCUCCCUCAGGUCCCUCUCUAUCUCCCCACACAUCCACCAACCACUGGAACACAUCUCCAAAGUUCUGCUGGACCAGCUCAGCUUCCCCUCAGAAGAAGUGCUGCCACCUGCCAGAUGAAGGAGCCUUUUGAGAGGCAGCUGGCAUCGUGAUUGGACUGUACUUUGGUCUGUUCCAAUCCAGCUUCAGCUCCAGAGACGGCAGGCGGGACGAGUCAACGGAGGCCUGGUGGACGAAGGCAUGCAGCUGAGUACAAUCCAGAAAACAACAGAGGAGGAAUGCAGCGGCUCAGUAUAGCCUUUGGUAUGAAAAAACACCAUCAUAUACAUUGUAUAUUGUACAAAUAACAAGUCAAAGGAAAGAGACAUACAUUGUAGAAUUGUAGUAAUUGUGGGCUGACUGAUUUACUGAUUAUCAGUAUUUUAUUUUUUACUGAUUUACGGUAAUAAAUCAAUUUAAAAAUGGUG